rnacentral:rRNA from 1 species
UGAGGAACAUGACUUUCGGCGGGGGAUAGCCGGCCCAACGGCCGGGUAAUACCGCGUACGACCUCUCGGGGACAUCCCCGGUUGGUGAAAGCAGCAAUGCACCGAAAGAGUGCCUCGCGGCCUAUCAGCUAGUUGGUGGGGUAACGGCUCACCAAGGCGACGACGGGUAGCUGGUCUGAGAGGAUGGCCAGCCACAUUGGGACUGAGACACGGCCCAGACUCCUACGGGAGCAG